rnacentral:misc_RNA from 1 species
CAGCCGCGUAAUUCCAGCUCCAAUAGCGUAUAUUAAAGUUGUUGCAGUUAAAAAGCUCGUAGUUGAAUUUCGAGAUCAAAUUGUUGGUCGUGCCUCGGUACGUACUGGCAUUAUUGAUUUCUCCUUUCUGAAGAACCUUGAUGUCAUUAAUUUGGUGUCUUGGGGAAUCAGGACUGUUACUUUGAAAAAAUUAGAGUGUUUAAAGCAGGCUUACGCUUGAAUACAUUAGCAUGGAAUAAUGAAAUAGGACGUUUAAUUCUAUUUUGUUGGUUUCUAGGAUUGACGUAAUGAUUAAUAGGGAUAGUUGGGGGCAUUAGUAUUCAAUUGUCAGAGGUGAAAUUCUUGGAUUUAUUGAAGACUAACUACUGCGAAAGCAUUUGCCAAGGAUGUUUUCAUUAAUCAAGAACGAAAGUUAGGGGAUCGAAGACGAUCAGAUACCGUUGUAGUCUUAACCAUAAACUAUGCCGACUAGGGAUCGGAUGAUGUUAAUUUAUGACUCAUUCGGCGCCUUACG